rnacentral:rRNA from 1 species
CCAAAGCUGGCGACCGGCGCACGGGUGAGUAACACGUAUCCAACCUGCCUCAUACUCGGGGAUAGCCUUUCGAAAGAAAGAUUAAUAUCCGAUAGCAUAUAUUUCCCGCAUGGGUUUUAUAUUAAAGAAAUUCGGUAUGAGAUGAGGAUGCGUUCCAUUAGUUUGUUGGGGGGUAACGGCCCACCAAGACUACGAUGGAUAGGGGUUCUGAGAGGAAGGUCCCACACAUUGGAACUCAGACACGGUCCAA